rnacentral:rRNA from 1 species
GACGAACGCUGGCGGCGUGCUUAACACAUGCAAGUCGAACGAGUGGCGAACGGGUGAGUAAUACGUGAGUAACCUGCCCUCUUUUUGGGAUAAGCCUUGGAAACGGGGUCUAAUACCGGAUAAAGGGGGAUGGGCUCGCGGCCUAUCAGCUUGUUGGUGGGGUGAUGGCCUACCAAGGCGGUGACGGGUAGCCAGCCUGAGAGGGUGAACGGCCACAUAGGGACUGAGGUAAGGCCGAGACGACUACGGGGUGAAGCAGUGGGGGAGAGUGCACAAUGGGCGAAAGCGUGAUGCAGCGAGGCCGAGUGGGGGAUUAAGGCUUUCGGGUUGUAACCCUCUUUCGCGAGCGAACGGGUAGGUGGAGAAGAAGCGCCGGCUAACUACGUGCCAGCAGCCGCGGUAAUUC